UACGUAGGGGGCUAGCGUUGUCCGGAAUCAUUGGGCGUAAAGAGCGUGUAGGCGGUCCGGUAAGUCCGCUGUGAAAGUCGGGGGCUCAACCUCGAGAUGUCGGCGGAAACCGUCUGGCUAGAGUCCGGAAGAGGAGAGUGGAAUUCCUGGUGUAGCGGUGAAAUGCGCAGAUAUCAGGAAGAACACCCGUGGCGAAGGCGGCUCUCUGGGACGGUACUGACGCUGAGACGCGAAAGCGUGGGGAGCGAACAGG
rnacentral:rRNA from 1 species